rnacentral:rRNA from 1 species
AGUGAACGCUGGCGGUAGGCCUAACACAUGCAAGUCGAACGGCAGCACAGUAAGAGCUUGCUCUUACGGGUGGCGAGUGGCGGACGGGUGAGGAAUAUAUCGGAAUCUACUUUUUCGUGGGGGAUAACGUAGGGAAACUUACGCUAAUACCGCAUACGACCUACGGGUGAAAGCAGGGGAUCUUCGGACCUUGCGCGAUUGAAUGAGCCGAUGUCGGAUUAGCUAGUUGGCGGGGUAAAGGCCCACCAAGGCGACGAUCCGUAGCUGGCCUGAGAGGAUGAUCAGCCACACUGGAACUGAGACACGGUCCAGACUCCUACGGGAGGCAGCAGUGGGGAAUAUUGGACAAUGGGCGCAAGCCUGAUCCAGCCAUACCGCGUGGGUGAAGAAGGCCUUCGGGUUGUAAAGCCCUUUUGUUGGGAAAGAAAAGCAGCAGGUUAAUACCCCGCUGUUCUGACGGUACCCAAAGAAUAAGCACCGGCUAACUUCGUG